UAGGGUCAUUUCGCCUGUUCGCGUCCAUCGCCCAAUUCGCGUCCAUUUUGCCGAUCUCCUUUUAAAAAUCCUCGAAAACAAGUCAACUAACACACCAAUCAAACGAAAAGUCAUUACCGCUAAUACGUCAAUGUAUAAGAGGCACGCACACAUAGACAAAAGUCCUGUGCGUCCAACCAUUCCUGUUUAGAAAAAUAGUUAGUCUCGGCUGUUCAACAAGGAAGCUCACACGCGCUGCAUGUUUAGAUAAAAAUUAGUGUGCAGCGGCGUGUUUGAUGAUCCAGAUAAUGAUUGGAUAGCUAGUUACGAGCCGCGAAAGUUUAACAAAGGUACAAACCACGAUAAAAAUUUCAACUUGGAAUUCGAUUUAAAAAAAAUUAAAGGUGAUAGUGGAUUGCCAAUGAUCUUAAAAACAUCUCUAGCUUCUCUUCUUUCCAAUGAUAUGUCACGUCAUGUAGUAAAUAUUGAAAUUCGUCAAAAAUUCAAAGUUUAGGGAAGAAAAUGGAACAAUAAUACAAAAGUAGUUGAAUGGCUUCUUAACAUUUCGAGAUGGAGAGUUUAAAAAUAAUUUCAAAGAUGAUCGUCCAGGUCAAAAAUUGUUUGAAAAAUGUUUGACCAGAAAUAAAGAAUUUUUUACUUAAACCAAUGUUGAGAAGAAUUAUUUUUAUUUUUUAAAGUGAGUUUUAAAUGAUGAUAAUGUUGAUUUUUAAUAAUUAAGUUUAUUGUUAAAUAAAGAAAUUGUUCAAAUACAA